rnacentral:rRNA from 1 species
AACGAACGCUGGCGGCAUGCCUAAUACAUGCAAGUCGAACGAUACCUUCGGGUCUAUUCGCGCCUUGGUUCGUUACCGGUCGGAUCCUUCCCUUGUGUUCGGCCUACCUCCUCGAAAGGGGUGCUAAUACGGGAUAAUGUCUUCUGACCAAAGAUUUAUCGGCUCUGGUGGGACCCGCUUUGAAUUAGCUAUUUGGUAGGGUAAAAGCCUACCAAGGCUACGUUCCAUAGCUGGUCUGCGAGGAUGAUCAGCAACACUGGGACUGAGACACGGACCAGACUCCUACGGGAGGCAGCAGUGGGGAAUAUUGGACAACGGGCGAGAGCCUGAUCCAGUCAUGCCGCGUGAGUGAUGAAGGACUUAGGGUUGUAAAGCUCUUUUACACGGGAUGAUAAUGACAGUACCGGAAGAAUAAGCGCCGGCUAACUCCGUG